rnacentral:rRNA from 1 species
GACGAACGCUGGCGGCGCGCUUAACACAUGCAAGUCGAACGGAAAGGCCUGCUUUCCCUUGUGGAUUGCGGGUACUCGAGUGGCGAACGGGUGAGUAACACGUGAGUUAUCUGCCCCCAACUUGGGUAUAAGCCUGGGAAACUGGGUCUAAUUCCCGAUAGGACUGCAGGGUGGUUCCUGUGGUGGAAAACGAUUUUCUAGUGGUUGGGGAUGAGCUCGCGGCCUAUCAGCUUGUUGGUGGGGUAAUGGCCUACCAAGGCGGCGACGGGUAGCCGGCCUGAGAGGGUGGACGGUCACAUUGGGACUGAGAUACGGCCCAGACUCCUACGGGAGGCAGCAGUGGGGAAUAUUGCACAAUGGGCGGAAGCCUGAUGCAGCGACGCCGCGUGGGGGAUGACGGCCUUCGGGUUGUAAACUCCUUUCGACCGAGAGGAAGCCACCUGGUUGGAAGGGUGGUGACGGUAGUGGUAGAAGAAGCAACGGCUAACUACGUG